ensembl:lncRNA
UCUCCCGGCGAGGGCCCGGCGCCCCCAGGCCGGGGAUCGGGGGCCGGCCGAGGGAGCCGCGACUCCCCGCGGGGGCCCGGCCCCACCGACCCUGAUGGGCUCCACCCCCGCCCGGUGCCGCCCCGGCCGCUCCCAGCGCCUGCUCCCCCGAGCCGCCCAGGGGAACCCCACACCGGGCGCCGGCUGCCGAUGGCGGCGGCGGGGGGGAAAGCCGCUGGGCGGCGGUGCGUGCCGGGAGCGGGAGGCGGCCCGGCCGGGUCACGCCCGCCCCCGGCCGCGCCACCGCCCCUUCCUGUCAUGGCCGCUGCCGGGCUGCGGGAGCGCGGCGAGGCGGUGCGGGCCGGCGCCCCCAGGAGCUGAGGGACCCGCCGGGCGGCGCGGAGCGGGGACGUGCCCCCAGCCCGGAGCCGGCGGUAGGAGAUAACCGCCGAGGUACCUGCUUUCCACUGCUUUCCUCCUUUAACGUCCCCUUGGGGUGAGCUGGCCGGCAGCAUGCCUUCCGCUGAGAACACCUCAAAACUUUUGCUGGUCCUUGUUUCGUUGCUGCUGGUGCUGCCAGGAGUUGAAGCCCUGGACGCGGGAGAUACCAUCGCCUUCCUAGUAGGCCUCGCUGUCAGUGUCGUCGGAUUCUGCGCCUGCCUUGGCUUGUACGCAAGGAAAAGGAAUGGACUGCAGUGAUUUUAAGAAGAUGCUCAGAUGAUGUGAAUUUCCAAACACAGCAUGGGGUUGAGAUCUGGUGUGUAAAACUGAGCUUUGGUUCUGGAUAACUUUCAAAAACUGUGUAGUAGAUAUUUCUGCAAACCCCUCUUACUGUGCUUAAAUACUGCCUUAGAGAAGGGUAAGACCUUUUUGGGAAUGGGGAAGGAAAACCAUAGAGUGGUUCACAGUUGAUAAAUGGAACAUGUGUGGGAGACUGCCAACAAGUUCCACAGUUUUGGUUUCAAGGGUUAAUCAGGAGGAAGCAGCUAUUAAUCUCCCAGUCAGGAUGACAGAGCUUUGGAAGCUCUCCUAACUAGAUAACUAGGGAGCAGACUGCUUUGACUUGUGUGCAUGUGCUCACAUUCUUUGUAAUGACAGUUAACACCUAACAGCUCACUACUGCUGUCACAGGGAUGAGACUUCAGAGAACUAAGAAAACAUGCAAAAUGUUUUUUUUUUCUUAUGUACUUUUAUUUUAGAAUGUCCCUCUCCUGUAGCCUGUGUUUUUGUUACCAAGUAGAUACACGUAAGAAAGGGACCACUAUUUUUUUUUAACAUGUAUUUCACAGAAAAGUACAUGUAAGGCUACACAAAUCAGAUUAAGGAUAUGGUUUUUGUCUCUUGCUUAUUUUUUGUACUCCACUCUCCUUUAGGCAUACCAGGUUGAAGCUUAUUUCAUUAGGUGUAUUUUUUUCCCCAAAAACCUUAUGUCUUAUUGUGAGGAAUUACAUGUAGCAUUUCUGCAUUAGGGGGUUAUUAGAAUUAUAACAAGACAGUUGUGCACAUGUUUCUUAUGCAAUAUGGAAAGAACAUGUUUUGUAAAAAUCAUGGAUUUAGUCAACAGGUCCGUUGUUCUCAAGUGUCUUCCUCAUGACAAACUUAUGUUGCUAGCUAAACAUUUAGGCUUCUUACCUAAUCAAUGCGUAUGAGUUCCAUAGAAGAUUAGGACCACAACCAAAGUAAAAAAUCCUGAGGCAAAAUGGGGAAUUUGUCUUACUCUGUUCAUGCUCAGUCAGAUUGUAUGGUGUAUGGUUGAAAGACUCUACUCAGUAGCAUAUCCAGGACCUGUUUCUUUCUUUAAGUACCAAAGGUGAAUAGGCACAGCCAAGAAUGUCUACCACAGGUCCUUCUGGCUGGUUAGGGUGUUUUAGCUGUCCCAGGAGAGACGAGGAGAACAGUCUGUAACAGCAGCAGAAUAAGGAGCAUAGGAAGGUGAGCUCUUCAUAGAAUUUCUUUGUGGUCUUGUGCUGCGGUCACUGCCACUUUUGCUAAAAAUCUUGUCUUUUAUCUUUCAGAGCUGGGAAAAAAGGUGAUGCAGAGCUAUGUAUUUGGAUACUAUUCCUCCCCUUCCUCUGUAAGUGUCUCUGUUCAGCAGAGCACAGAGCAAUGGCUAGGAGAGUCCUCGGGCAGGUCUUGUAUAAGUAAUUGGGUGGGCAGAUCACAUUCUCCAAAUUCUAGGAUUUCUGUAUUUAUAUGCCAUUUGUGGCUGGUUUCCCUUCUCUCUCCAGCCUCUAAGGAGACAGAAGCCCUUGUUAUUUCAGUCUUGCAAUUUUUUCCCUCUCUCAUGGUUGAUAGAGAGAGGAAGGUAAAAUGAAAGCUUCCAAAAUUGUGUGGGGUUGAAACUGUAGGACUCAACCCAGCAAGCCACAAGAAUGUAGGUUUCUGCUCUCAAGUUACAGGAAUAAUAAUGAGUCCCAAAGUUAUUCUGGUGAGAUCUAAGUCUUGCCAGGUAGCUCUUCUUGUACCCUUUUUGUGGCUUCCAAAAGGCAGAUAGGGCCAUGGUGCACAAUUACUACCUACAAAUGAAACUUACAGGUUUUAGAGGAGCUUCAGACAGCAGUGUCAGCUUAGAAGGCUGCCCAGCAGCAGGUGAUCCUGUAUGUGAUUACUCAACUGGGUGAAUGGAAGCACGUAUCAAGUGUGAUCUUCCAUGUUCCUGUUUGGUUAAACCAUUACCCUUUUAAAAAAACAAACAAACAAAAAAACCCUCCUCAGUUGACUUUGUAUUUCCCAAAAUUCAAGUGGUUUGUCAAUUUCUUUGCAGAAUAUUAAAUAUUGCUCUUUCAGUAGAAUAAAUGUUAUCACAAGCAGUUUUUCGCA